CAAAGGGUGCUUCGAGUAUAACAAAAAACAACUUGUCAUCCUUAGGAUGAGGUCAUAUAUUCGAUCAUGUUAGGUAAUGUCACAUAUUCUCUGCAACACGGAUGCAGCUUGACUCGUCCUGAGAUAUUGAAUACUGGUCGAACUAUAUUAUAUGUACUUGUUUGACAUGCAUGUUUUCUUUCGAGUAUGGGGUCGAGUUCUGUCGUUUUCCUUGUUAGAUUUUGUUUCUUGGGUCAGGCCUUUCUCGUCCUAUGUCGGACCUUCGAACUUAACGGAUCUUCUUAGAGCUGAGUCGCUGAUAGGGUGUGAAUCCCACUUCCAACACUAGUUAUGAAAAAGAUUUCGGCAAUACCACCAUUUGCAGGUAAGUCUUAUCUUUGUUUUAAGAAACCAUUUGGAUUCUGAAAUCAACAUAAACAUUAACCUACAAUCUUGAUUUUCAUAGAUCAAAAGUUCUCGAUUUGUUCUGAAUGUAAUAAGUUGAACAACCUAGAUAGCUCCAUCUAUAAUCAUGUUAUAUAUAGUCAAAAUGUAAAUGAAAACAUUGAUGAAUGUACAAGUUGAUAUAUAGGUUUGCUAAAAACUGGUAGACAGAAACGGAAUAUUAUCGUGGAAGCCAUCGUCAAACACUUUUGGAAAGGAAAACAAUGAAUCCAUACAAGGAAUGGGGUCGUAAUUUUGGUCCCCUCCUAAGACAAAAUUGCAAUUAAAAUUCUUGUCUUCAUAUACUUCACAUAUAUCAAAAUUAGUGUUAAUUUCUCUGCAUGUGAUUUUCAACGAUUCAUAUUUGAGAUAAACUUUCCGACGGAGAUAGAAUAUCUCAAUCCAUGUAAGAGGACAAUACAAGCGCUAGUGGACUGUUUAGAUUUUGGUUGGAUUCUUAUUAGACCAUGCUAAUUGUCUUUUAUUUUGAGGAAAAAUAUCAUAUCCACUGAUGCAUCAUUUUGAAAGAAUAAAAAUGAGGAUACAAAUUUGAAAGAACACUAUUCACAACUUAUUUUUACUAUUAAACUUUUUAUUUACAAAUUGAUUUUUAAAUUAUUAUCUAAACUUUUAUAUAUCUAAAAACAAAAUAUUUAUAUUUUAUACUUUCUUGAAAUUAUUAAUACUUUCAUUAAUACAACUAUAAAUUCAUAUAAAUCAGUGUCUAUUCUAUUAGCUAGAAACAAAAUUUAUGUAUAAAAUAAAUAUUUAAGUAAACUAAAAUUAUAGUUGAAUAAAAUUUGUAUGUUUUAAAAUAAAUAUCUUUUAGAAUUAAUAGUAAGUAUUAAUAAUACAAUAUACUUAUAAUAUUUUUACAUAAAAUGAAAAAAAUAAUUGGAGUAAAACACAAAUUGAUUUUGACGUUACCUUCUUUUGAGAGAAAAUUUGAGGAUGAUCAUUAGAAAUGCCUUUGAUAAUUAAAAUUAUAUUGAUUCUUGUUUAUAAUUAUUUAACUCUGAAUUAAAUCAAUUAGAAAAACCUUUGAAGUAUUAGAAGUAAAAUAUUUUAAAAUAUGUAACGUUAUUACACGAUUUUUUAUAUGUACAUACAAAAUUUAUAUUCUAAAAUCUAAUUUCAAAAUAAAAAAAAUUAUGAUCAUAUUUAUUUAUUGAAGAUUCUGAUAAAUAUUUUUUAUAAAAAUUGACCAUGAUUAUUAGUUUAAAAUAGUAUAGAAAAGACGUUUUACUUAAUAUCUAAGCUUAAAACUAUGUUCAGACAACCAAGUCGUCUUGGUUUUAUAGUAAAUGAAUUUCAGCUGGAAUUUUCGUCUUGGGUUUGAUUCACCAACCACAUAGCUGCACUAUUUAGAUGGAUUAAUUGCAUAUCUUGAUGUAAUAUUUCGUGAAAUUAGUUUUUUGGCCUAUUAAACUUUUGAGACGGUUAUUAAAAAAAACUAUGUUCAGGCUUUUUAGGCUUUUUGGGUAUGUUUGGAAAUUCAUCUUUUUUACCCAAAUUCCGUUGAUAGUAUUUAAUUUAAUGAUCUUGUCGAAUCAGAGGGAAAUGACAAAACAAAAUAAGAAGAACAAGUUCGUUAGUGCCGCAGAAUAAAGCUCCUACACGAUCUAAAAGUUUGUCCUCUUUUCUUGAUUAGAAGUAAUCUAAUAUUACAUGAUUUUUAAUGAUAUCUCUGAUUUGCUUUUUACGAUGAUUAUAUUAAUUCUUAAUUAAGAAAACCGAAAUUUGGUCCACCACAAAGCGAGUAGAUUCGUAUGCAAAAUUCACUACCAGUAUCACGAGAUAAGCACGCACAAUGGCACCUCAUCACGACCAUACACCAGCAUGAAACUUUCACGAUGCGUAAUUUUAUGUGGGCAAAAGUUGACAUCUAAUACUAUUGUAGUUCAUAUUGGAAUUAGGUAUUAUUUCUUGAAAUAAUAAAAUAAUAAUAAUUUAUCAUAAUGGGGUGAACCAAAUCUAGUGACAUACAAUGAUUUAGACAAUGACAACUCCGUUUGUCUUCACACAUAUACUUGUGAUUUUCUAUUAAUCAAAUACAUGGCUUAUAUCAAUGUAACACAUCCAGACGAUGGGUCUGACUGUAUAGCACUUUUGGAGUAAAUACCUAGACGAAAAAUUUGUGUUACUCCAAUUCCGUCUAGAAUUUGUGAAAAAUGAAAAAGAAAACUUUACUCUUAAUAUCGUUGAAUUACACUCUCUCUCCUAAAUAUUAUCCUUCCACUCUAUGAAAGAAAGACUCAGAGUAACAUAAAAGUAUCAUACAAUAAUAAAAGGGGAAUACCCUGAGUAGUUAGAGUGUCCACGUCGACAGUAAUAAUCAACCAAUAGGAGAAGAGCUUUUCGCCACGUCAGAUGCUCACUUAUGUCAUUUGGGCUUCGCGUUCACAGGCCCUAAAUCGUUCGGAGUAAACAGCCCGUGAAGCCCACCUCGCGUGAAGUUCUCUUUCCAUUUCCGCGAGGAACUAACCCUAAUUUUGCUUAAUCAAUCCUCGAUCCCCUUUCUCUUCCUCUUCUUCGUUUCGUCGAUCUCCUUUCUCUUCGUCUUCUUAGUUUCCUACGUUUCACGGAUCUUUCAUCGCAAACAAUCAAUUCUCUCCCCACUCCUCUAGACUUUUAAUCUCAUUAAUGGAUGAUUUAUCGCUUUCUUCCUCUGAGAUUCUAUAUACAUCUCUUAAUCGAUGUUUUAUUUGCAUCAAAAAAAUUUCUAGCCUUUCAACCGCUCAUUGCGAUGAAGUUAUCCGGUGUUUCCGACACAGUGAAAACGAACGGCGAAGCGGUGAUCCCCUCCAGUUCGGUCAACCCCGUCGCCCAACCCGGUGUAUCUUCCGGCGAUGUCAAUCCGAUCCCCUCCGGUCUGGUCAAACCCGUCGCUCAAACCGAUGUCUCUUCCGGCGAUGCCAUUGCGAUGAAGUCAAAAGACGUAACGGCAGAAGCGAAGAAUUCGAUCAAACCAAACGGCAAAACUGGUGCCUCCUCCGGUCUCAAACUCGGUGUUAGAGGCAGAGCCUCUGUCUCAUCCGUCGAUAAAGGCAAAGCUAUCGUCUCCGAGAACGUGGGAAAGGUUAUUACCUUCAAAGACAUCACUUUCGGGCCCCAUGAAGACGAGGUGCGGUUCCGGUUGAUCCACUUUUGGGAGGCUUGGAAUGUUCAGACGAAGGUGCUUAUCGGCAUCGAAAUGCUUCUCAUCGACGAAGAGGAGAGUGUUAUCCAGGGCUUCAUCCCCUAUGGAAGGAUUGACACAUAUUUGCGUCACAUGAAAACUGGUGCUACAUACCGACUCAACAAGUUUUUCGGAUCAAAGAGCAAGACUAUCUACCGGGUAGCUGAGUCAAGUGUCACUAUUUGCUUCUCAAGUAACUAUGUCCUCUCUGGACUCGAGGACAGUUCGAUCAGCUUUCCUGUAGAUCGGUUCCGGAUUCAUGGACACAAAGAAUUUGAAGCUGGCUCCGACUUGAGAGGUGAUCUUUAUGAUUAUAUUGGCCACAUCAAACUUGUGAAUGGGAAGGUCCCCGGUGACGGUCUUCUGCUUGAUGAGUCAGAGAUAGCAAAAUCUCGCCGAGUUGAGCUUCACGUUCAAACACAUGAGUAAGUUAUUCUAUAUCUUCCUUCAAAUUCACAUAUGGUUUUAUUUACCACAUGAGUUUGUGUUGUUACAGCGAUCCUGUGCUGAAGCUGUACCUCUGGGACAAGGUUGCGUUUGAGUUCUGUGAAAAGUUUAAAGCAUCUGGUGGCACUGCACGCGUUAUCUUGGUCACCACCUUAAACCCGAAAUGGUUUGGAGGCGUCCUAUCUAUAUCUUCUAUGGCGUCUUCACGGGUAUUUCUGGAUGGUGAUGUCGAAGAAACGCUGUUGUACCUCAGCUGGUAAUGUUUAAGUUUCAUAUGUUGGAAUGCAACUUAUAUUACUCCGCCAUUGAACGUCUGGUUUACAUUCUUUCUAGGUUGGACUCGAACCUA